rnacentral:rRNA from 1 species
UACGGGAGGGGCAGUCGUUGUCGGAAUUACUGGGCGUAAAGGGCUCGUAGGUGGCCAACUAAGUCAGACGUGAAAUCCCUCAGCUUAACUGGGGAACUGCGUCUGAUACUGGAUGGCUUGAGUUUGGGAGAGGGAUGCGGAAUUCCAGGUGUAGCGGUGAAAUGCGUAGAUAUCUGGAGGAACACCGGUGGCGAAGGCGGCAUCCUGGACCAAUACUGACACUGAGGAGCGAAAGCCAGGGGAGCAAACGGG